GUAGAUAGUAAAGGCACAUUUUGAAGUUUUGCGUCGGGUACAAUAUUUGAUUGCUACGGCCCUAGCCGGGAGGCACUGUUUUAGGUGAGAAGUUGGGGAGGUAGGAUAUGGAAAAAAAUUUAUUAUAUAUCAAUACGCAAUGAUUAAUCAUUGUAAAUGAAAAACGAUUUUAAUCGGAGUUCGAUUAUACAUUUUUUAAAGGCCGUGAUAUUUUUGAUUUUCAUCAAAAUAUAUACCUAACUGAAUUCCGUUUAGAAUCGUUUUUCGUUGGGUACAGAUAUAUAUUAAAUUCUCCUCUAUAUUCUACCUUCCCAAUUUCUUACCUACAAUAGUGGUCGACACAUCGUACGAAGUAUGUCUACAUUUUUUGUGUUAAUUUUCCAAGCAUUUCUAUUCGACCAAAACAAGAUAUAAUAAGGAAUAAAAACUAGACAAUUUCAAAUGGCUAUAAAUAGCUCCGAAAUCUCC